GAGGGUGUAGCUCAGUGGUAGAGUGCGUGCCCAGCACACACAAGGUCCUGGGUUCAAGCUCCAGUGCCCCCA
rnacentral:tRNA from 1 species